rnacentral:tRNA from 1 species
UCCCUGAUGGCUCAGUGGUAAAGAAUCUGCUUGCAAUGCAGGAGACCAGGGUUUGAUCCCUGGGUUGGGAA